GUGGGGAAUCUUCCGCAAUGGACGAAAGUCUGACGGAGCGACGCCGCGUGAGUGAAGAAGGCCUUCGGGUCGUAAAGCUCUGUCAUCAGGGACGAACGGCCGGUGGAGUGGAAAGCCACCGGAUUGACGGUACCUGAGAAGGAAGCCACGGCUAACUACGUGCCAGCAGCCGCGGUAAUACGUAGGUGGCAAGCUUUGUCCGGAAUUAUUGGGCGUAAAGCGCGCGCAGGUGGGAUCUUAAGUCCAUUUUUAAAGUUCGGAGCUCAACUCCGUGAUGGGAUGGAAACUGGGAUUCUUGAGUACCGGAGAGGAAAGCGGAAUUCCCCGUGUAGCGGUGAAAUGCGUAGAUAUGGGGAGGAACACCAGUGGCGAAGGCGGCUUUCUGGACGGUGUCUGACGCUGAGGCGCGAAAGCUAGGGGAGCGAACGGGAUUAGAUACCCGAGUAGUCC
rnacentral:rRNA from 1 species